CGUAGGCAAUCUGCCCUUAAGGGGAGAACAACUUAUCGAAAGGUGAGCUAAAUCUCCGUAACAUAACGAAGAGGCAUCUCUUUGUUAUCAAGCUUUCUUAAGGAUGAGCCUGCGUCUGAUUAGCUAGUUGGUAGUGUAACGGACUACCAAGGCUACGAUCAGUAGCUGGUCUGAGAGGAUGAUCAGCCACAUGGGACUGAGACACGGCCCAG
rnacentral:rRNA from 1 species